CAACAUUUAGAAAUUAAGGCAAGAAUUUUUUUCCUUAACACUAAGUAUAAUAAAAACAAAAUCAUCAGGAAGAUUCGAUUAUCUUUUCCCAUAUGUAUGGUUAUAUUACACCUUAUGUAAAAAUAUAUGCAAGAGACACUCUAUGAUCCUUUACUCAUGAUUACAAUGGAACAUAUUUCUAACAGAGAACUUUGUUAUAUGAAAAAUCACUUUAUGUUGCAAUUUAGAAGAGGUACAUUUUAAGGAGAAUACGAAAUUCCACUGAUACUUAACUUAAUAAUGGACACAAAGGAAAAACUACUAAAAGUGCCAUUUCAGGUACUGUCACAAACAAACAUUCAACUCAAAAACAACAGUAUAACUGGCUUCAGAUUUUUUAUUAUUCCACAUUUUAAAUCAACUGAUUACUGGCUACACAUUCACAAUCAAAUUUCAGUUUCUUUUCAUCACCUUCAAAGCUCUGCCUACCUCUGUACCCUCCUUACUUACAAUGCCUUGUCAAGCCUCAGGCUGCCCUCCACCUGCCUCCAACUUUGUCCCACUGUUUUACAGCUUCUCUUACAAUUAUUUCCAUGCCUCCUUCCACACAGUAUGGUACUACAUCCCAUAGCUUAUCUGCAUGGUCCCUGCCCUGUCCACAUUUGAAAGCUUACUUUUACAGUGUGGCUUGCCACGAAUUGAGCUGACUAGUAUAUAAAUUGCCUACUACUGGUUCCUCUGCCUCUAACCUCUAUUUCUCAGCUUGUAUUUACAAUGUGAACUCCUGAGAGCACAGAGCAUCCCAGCCAGUUUGGAAAGCACUCAGUGGGUGUAACAAUCUGUAUGAGAGGGUUACUCACUUUGUGCAGUAAAUGAGGUUCUUUGAGAUGUGUCCCCCUGUGGGUGCUUCACUUCAAGUAUUAGAGAUUUACAGUGGCAGUAUCUGUACAGGUCAUGCGUGCACAGCAGAUGUCUCACGGUGCCGUUGCUGCCUCAUCUAGCGUGCGCGCAGCCCGAUCCCUCCAGUUCCUUCUCUACUGUGAAGUCCUUACUGCCAACUCCAAAGUAGAGGGGACGAGGGUGGGCAGUGGAGCAGCCACAGGGGAACACAUCUCGAAGAAACUCAGUUACUGCACAAGGUGAGUAACCCUCUCUUCUUUUUUGAGAGAUGUCCCUGUGGGUGCUCCACUUCAGGUGACUGUAGAGCAAUGUCCCUCAGAGGUUAGGAAGGACUUUAGGUUCGCUUGUAUUGUAGAGGCAAGUACAGUUAGGCCAGUUAUGGCAUCAGGCCUCAAAUGAUUGCAUAAUGAUCAGUAAACAUAUGGACAGAGGCUCAGGUAGUUGCUCUACAUGUGUCUCUUACAGGUACAUUGUUUAGAAAUGCUAUUGAGGUCAAUACAGAGCAUGUGGAAUGGGAUCUGAUGUUCUCAGGAGGUUCUGUAUUGUGUGUUUGGGUAACAUUGUUGAAUACAGGUGGAGAUCCAUUUAGAUAGUCUGAGUGGAUAUAGCACUGCCUUUUGAACGUUCGGUCAUGGACACAGUCUCAGGGACUUUCAGAAAGGCUUGGUUCUAUCUAACUAGAACAUGAACACAUGUCUAACACCUAAUAUAUGCACAAUGGUUUCAUUUGGAUUCCCGUGUGGUUUAUGGUAAAACAUGGGAAGGUGAAUUGGUUGGUUUAUAUGAAAGGGUGAUGAUAUUUUCAGUAGGAACUUUGGGUGGGGUCGUAACGUGACCUUGUCCUUUACAAAUAUUGUGUAGGGAGGAUCAGUCAAAAGGGCCCCUAUCUCACUUAUUCGUCUGGCAUAAGCAAUAGGUGACUAAAGGUUCAAAUGGCGGUCUGGUGAUGGAUUUCAAUACCAGGUUUAGAUCCCAUGCCAGAGUGGGUUGGCGAACCUCUGGGUAAAUGUUCUGUAGAGUGGUGAGGAAGGGUUUAGUAAUUGGAUGCACGAAUAUCAAGGUCCCUUUGAUCCCAUGACUGAAUGCUGUAAUGGCUGCGAGAUUCACUUUGAUCGAGUUUGUUGCAAGACCCGAACGUUUUAACUCCAAUGUGUAGUCCAGCACUAGUGGUGCUGUAGUGGCAGUCAACUGUUUUUCUUGACACCAUGAGGAGAAUCUUUUCCAUUUCUGAGGGUAAGUUUUAUGCAUGGUUGAUUUCCUGUUGUUUAGUAAUACGUGUUUGACUUGUUCCAAACAGGCUAACUCACCAUAAUGGAACCAUGCAGAAGCCACGCUUUCAGGUAGAAGUUUCUCCAGAUUUGGGUGAAGAGUGCAACUAUUGUUCCAUGACAGAAGGUCCGUCCGAAGAGGGAGAACUCGUGGGGCGCAUAUCGCCAUGUGUAUCGGAACUGUGAACACUGCCACAGAGCUCCAUCUCAGGCUGAGGACGGUUGACAAGGAACUGAAGGGAUCGGGUCGUGCGCAUGCUAGAUGAGAUGCACGGCACUGCAAGACAUCUACUGCAUAAGUUGGGACACUGCUAUCUUAAAUCUCUGAUUGAUGGUUCCAGGAUGCACCGACACCACAAAGACAUCACCCGAAGAACCACUCUAUGUUCACCAUUUUUACAAAACUAUAAUGGAUUUUAUACAAAGUAUGCCUUAUGAAGUAUCAUUUGAAAAUUCAAUUUGCUGAUCAUUAUUGUCCUGGUAAAAUGUGUGGGGCAACAUUGUACACAAAGUUAUAAGAUGCUACUGAGACAUAUUCCAAGUUUAAAAAGCAGGUACAAACCAGUUCCUCAAAAACAAAAAGCAAACUGAUGCCUCAGCCAGGUGUCCACAAGAUCAAAUGGACUAUCACCUGGUUAAGCAGCCAUUCUUUGGCAGGAAAAAGGGUAAGAGCGAGAAAUUUACAAGGUGGCAAAGAAACAGUUGGAAGUUCCCCUCCCACAGACUGCCUCCUGAAUCCCAGCCGGAGAUGAUUUUCAAAGAGGAAGAAAAGAUAAAAUGGGGAACAGAUGCCCCAAAUCAUCUCUCCAUUUCUACUCACGGCAUCAACAACACUUGAAGAAUAAAGGAAGCAUCAUCGGACUUGGGAGGGAUCCUGGCUGAAAGAUUCAACCAGUAAAACUGGUAGAACAUAUAGUGAGAGAGACCCUUAUGCUUUGAAUUCACUUAGCCUGUUAAGUUAGGUAUCAGUUGCGUUUUACCUUUUAUUUACUUGUAACCAAUUAUGACUUUUAUGCCUCAUUAUUUGUAGUCACUUAAAACCUAUCUUUCUGUUGUUAAUAAACUUGUUUUAUUGUUUUAUUUAAA